CCGGAAUGACCAAUCAGAGCUGGAGUCCUGAGGAACGAACCACCGGUUUAGCCAAUCAGUAGAGCGCCCGAUCUUCUCCUCCCACCCCGCAUCCCUAAUCAAGUUGGUCUGUAAAGUGCUGAUGUGAAGGGUGGCGAGCAAGCGAUGUAAUAAUUCAAUCACCACAGAAUGAAUGAAUAAAUAAAUGUGUAUGAUACAGCGCGGAAUAAAUUAAAAUAAUUAAUCUAGAGGAGAAUCCCCAAGCCGCCCAAUCUGGGGCAUUUCACUAAUUUUCACUCAUUCAAGAGCUUGGUGCUGACUGAUAUUCAGGCUCGCCUGGUUCAAUCCAGCGAAACUUCCCGGACCGAGACGAACCCGAACCGAACGGUGGCCGAGCCCGAGCCCGAGCCCGAGCCCGAGCCCGAGCGGAGGAACCAACAGGGACAGCCCAGCCGAGACAAGCUGGCAGGCAGCAGCAGCCGCCGUCCUACCCGACUCGCGAGAAUAUACCUGCUCGUUUUCACUGCGUGGCUUUUUUUUUCCUCUGCUUGUUCUCUUCUUUUUUUCUUCUUCACAUCAGACACAACUUUAAAAAGUAAAACAAAAAGGGAGAGAGAGGAUUGGAAAAUCGAUUUAGCAGGACCCGUGGCGAAGCUAGGGCAAAGGUGGAAUCCUCAGUGACCCGAACCCCCAACCGGGACUGCAUGAGGGAAAGUGGUGACAUAAGGGAGGCAAAGGCACGGAAACCUCGGCGCAUUUCAAAAGACUGGUGUAAAUUGUUUAAUGGUUUGUUUUUAAUUUCAAGAAACUACUGUAUUAAAAAAAUACUGACAACGAGGAAGCUGGAACCUGUUUUCUUCCCCCUUACUAACGCGCCAGUGAGAAAAGGAAGAUUUGCAUUGAACCUCCAGUGUGUUUAGACAGAAAAUCAAAAGGAAGCAGUUGAAGUUGUUGGAAGAUUUGUUGGGAGAAACGGCGUCUCUUCAUUAGUGCUUGGCAUGAAAUAACACUACAAAACAUCUCAUCCGACCUCGAUUUUAUCUCUCCGGAGUAGUGAGCAGCCUCCUCCUCUUCUUUCUCCUCCUCUUCCUCAUCAUGCUGCUGCCGCCUCUGCCGUGAGGGCUCGAUCAGCUUUUUCGAUACGUUUUCCCCUGUGGGAUUUUGUACCCUCUUGUGAGUUUUUAAAGAGAAUGAAACAAAAAGGCCUUCCGAUCGCGUAAGGACAGCUCCUGAACGUGGAUUAGAGACUGUUCUGUAAGGACACAUGGCGAAAACCAAAGAGAAACGCGUUUGGAAGGAAAUGUAUGGCGAUUUUCGUUCAGUACCCGCAGAACACAUCGGCCGCAAGGACGAUCGCGACAAGCCCAACGCCAAGUUAGAGGACCCGGAAAAUGACAGAGGAAAACUCGAGAGUUUGAAAGUUGUCGAUUCGCACUGUUUGGGAAGUGGGAAGAAG